rnacentral:rRNA from 1 species
CCUACGGGUGGCAGCAGUGAGGAAUAUUGGUCAAUGGGCGCGAGCCUGAACCAGCCAAGCCGCGUGCAGGAAGACUGCCCUAUGGGUUGUAAACUUCUUUUAUACAAGGGUAAACGCAGGUACGCGUAUCUGUUUGUAAGUACUUUACGAAUAAGGAUCGGCUAACUCCGUGCCAGCAGCCGCGGUAAUACGGGGGAUGCGAGCGUUAUCCGGAUUUAUUGGGUUUAAAGGGUGCGUAGGAUGUGAUGUAAGUCAGGGGUGAAAUGUCCGCGCUCAACGGGGUGAAGUGACAUUGAUACUGGCUUGCUUGAGUGCAGAUGAGGUGGGAGGAAUGUGUGGUGUAGCGGUGAAAUGCAUAGAUAUCACAAAGAACACCGAUUGCGAAGGCAUCUUACGAAUCCGCCAUUGACAUUGAUGCACGAAAGUGUGGGUAUCAAACAGGAUUAGAUACCCUUGUAGUC